CACGUAGGCACCAAGCGUUGUCCGGAUUUAUUGGGCGUAAAGAGCUCGUAGGCGGUUCGGUAAGUCGGGUGUGAAAACUUUGGGCUCAACCCAAAGCCUGCACUCGAUACUGCUGUGACUUGAGUCCGGUAGGGGAGUGAGGAAUUCCUGGUGUAGCGGUGGAAUGCGCAGAUAUCAGGAGGAACACCGGUGGCGAAGGCGCCACUCUGGGCCGGUACUGACGCUGAGGAGCGAAAGCGUGGGGAGCGAACAGG
rnacentral:rRNA from 1 species